UACGUAGGUGGCAAGCGUUGUCCGGAUUUAUUGGGUUUAAAGGGCGCGUAGGCGGCCUGAUAAGUAGGGGGUGAAAUCCUGCGGCUUAACCGCAGGGCUGCCUUCUAAACUGUCAGGCUCGAGCACAGUAGAGGCAGGUGGAAUUCCCGGUGUAGCGGUGGAAUGCGUAGAGAUCGGGAAGAACAUCAGUGGCGAAGGCGGCCUGCUGGGCUGUUGCUGACGCUGAGGCGCGACAGCGUGGGGAGCAAACAGG
rnacentral:rRNA from 1 species